rnacentral:lncRNA from 1 species
CUUACUGUGUUAACCCGGGGAACUUAAUUUUUUUUUAUUACAUGACUGAUUGGUUUGGUAUGGGUGUGUGCACUCACACCAUGUCUGGAGCAUGUCUGGAGGUCAGAGAACAACUUCUGGAGUCCUUCUUCCACCGUGUGAGUUCCUGGAACUAAACUUCAGUCGUGAGGCUUCGAGGCAAGAGCUUUUACCCAGUGAGUCAUGCUGUAGCCUCAAGGGGAUCUAACAGUGACCACAACAGAGUUCCUGGUGCCUGGACAUUCCUAGUCUCAUGUGUGGGUAUGCACAUGAGUGCAUGUGUGUAUGCCUACGCUAGAAGAGAAGUAUUUGCAGUCGCCAACUAACGCUGCGAAACAGAGGGUGCGUGAGCACUCUGAGUUGAGAUUGGAGAAAUCCUUUCUUUCACUAUCUUCCUGUUUAUCACAAACGCGUGCGAGGAUCUACCAAAAGCCAACGAAUGUGCUCCAUGCUGGGACUCACAGAUGUGAAGGCACUGGACCUGCCCCCAGCAACUCCCUGUCCAGCACAGGGACUGCAGAGGAGGCCAGAGACAGAGGUGUCAGAGGACAGUUUGACUGGGUGGCUUACCACAACACAGAGCAAAUACUUAGGGUGCUCCAACCUAAAAAAGACCAGCCUGUGGCUGGUAUAAGUAUAAAGCCCCCUGCACCUAGGGAUAAACAUACCAGGAAAAAUAAAGGAUUAUAACAACCUCA